rnacentral:misc_RNA from 1 species
UUUCCGUAGGUGAACCUGCGGAAGGAUCAUUAUUGGAUUUUGAAACUUCAGGGUGCUGCUGGCUCUCGUGGGAGGGCAUGUGCACGCUUGUUGUCCAUUAUUUCUCCCACUGUGCACAAAUUGUAGACCUUUCAGUAGGCCUAUGUUGUUUUUCACAAUCUCUGAAUGUAAUAGAAUGGUUUUGAAUCUUGGGAAAUACAAUACAACUUUCAGCAACGGAUCUCUUGGCUCUC